rnacentral:rRNA from 1 species
GAUGAACGCUAGCGGCAGGCUUAAUACAUGCAAGUCGAGGGGAGCAGCUUUAUAGCAAUAUAGAGGCUGGCGACCGGCAAACGGGUGCGGAACACGUACACACCUUCCUUGAAUAGGGGGAUAGCCCAUAGAAAUGUGGAUUAAUACCCCGUAAUAUAGCGUGUGGCAUCACACUGUUAUUACAGUUUCGACGAUUCGAGAUGGGUGUGCGGCUGAUUAGUAGUUGGCGGGGUAAAGGCCCACCAAGCCUUCGAUCAGUAGCUGAUGUGAGAGCAUGACAGCCACACGGGCACUGAGACACGGGCCCGACUCCUACGGGAGGCAGCAGUAAGGAAUAUGGUCAAUGGACGCAAGUCUGAACCAGCCAUGCCGCGUGAAGGAUGAAGGUCCUCUGGAUGUAAACUUCUUUUAUAGGGGGCGAAAAAAGGUCUUUCUAGAUCACUUGACAGUACCCUUGAAUAAGCACCGGCUAACUCCGUGCCAGCAGCCGCGGUAAUACGGAGGGUGCAAGCGUAUCCGGAUUCACUGGGUUUAAAAGGGUGCGUAGGCGGGUAGGUAAGUCAGAGGUGAAAUCUGGAGCUUAACUCCAGAACUGCCUUUGAUACUAUCUAUCUUGAAUAUGGUGGAGGUAACGGAAUAUGUCAUGUAGCGGUGGAAAUGCAUAAGA